UUUCCGUAGGUGAACCUGCGGAAGGAUCAUUCAUAAUAAAGUGUUUUAUGGCACUUUUUAAAAAUCCAUAUCCACCUUGUGUGCAAUGUUAGAUCUCGUCAAUCUUGGCGAGAUUUUUAUACAUCAACUCAUUCUUUAACUAAUUUGUCUGAAAAAUAUUAUGAAUUCUUAAUUCAAAAUACAACUUUCAACAACGGAUCUCUUGGCUCUC
rnacentral:misc_RNA from 1 species